rnacentral:rRNA from 1 species
CCUACGGGAGGCAGCAGUGAGGAAUAUUGGUCAAUGGACGAGAGUCUGAACCAGCCAAGUAGCGUGAAGGAUGACUGCCCUAUGGGUUGUAAACUUCUUUUAUAUGGGAAUAAAAUGUUCCACGUGUGGGAUUUUGUAUGUACCAUAUGAAUAAGGAUCGGCUAACUCCGUGCCAGCAGCCGAGGUAAUACGGAGGAUCCGAGCGUUAUCCGGAUUUAUUGGGUUUAAAGGGAGCGUAGGUGGAUUGUUAAGUCAGUUGUGAAAGUUUGCGGCUCAACCGUACAAUUGCAGUUGAAACUGGCAGUCUUGAGUACAGUAGAGGUGGGCGGAAUUCGUGGUGGAGCGGUGAAAUGCUUAGAUAUCACGAAGAACUCCGAUUGCGAAGGCAGUUCACUGGACUGCAACUGACACUGAGGCUCGAAAGUGUGGGUAUCAAACAGGAUUAGAUACCCUGGUAGUC